rnacentral:rRNA from 1 species
AUCAGCAAUGACCUCGCGCGGUUGGAUGGACCGAUGUUCGAUUAGCUAGUUGGUGAGGUAAUGGCUCACCAAGGCGACGAUCGAUAGCUGGUCUGAGAGGAUGAUCAGCCACACUGGGACUGAGACACGGCCCAGACUCCUACGGGAGGCAGCAGUGGGGAAUAUUGGACAAUGGGCGCAAGCCUGAUCCAGCAAUGCCGCGUGUGUGAAGAAGGCCUUCGGGUUGUAAAGCACUUUUAUCAGGAGCGAAAUACCACGGGUUAAUACCCUAUGGGGCUGACGGUACCUGAGGAAUAAGCACCGGCUAACUUCGUGCCAGCAGCCGCGGUAAUACGAAGGGUGCAAGCGUUAAUCGGAAUUACUGGGCGUAAAGCGUGCGUAGGCGGUUGUUUAAGUCUGCUGUGAAAUCCCCGGGCUCAACCUGGGAAUGGCAGUGGAUACUGGACAGCUAGAGUGUGAUAGAGGAUGGUGGAAUUCCCGGUGUAGCGGUGAAAUGCGUAGAGAUCGGGAGGAACAUCAGUGGCGAAGGCGGCCAU